CGUAUGAUGCUGCUGCCAGCCCGCGCGCCGACGUGACUGAGGCGGGCGGCCUGUGUCUCUCUGGCACAGGUACAUAACACCAACCGGGUUUU
rnacentral:ncRNA from 1 species